CAAAUGUUUUGUUUAUAUUUGAAAAGAAUAACAAGAGAAGAGAUUUUAAUUGGCAUGAGGCGACCACACGAAUACAUUAAACGCCGAAAUAAUCCCAUAUCUCUUUUGAGUGUGGAAAAAAGCACUAAGUAAAGAGUACUUUGUUUAGAGUAUGCCAAGCCAAUAUUUCUCCCAUCUUUCAGGCCUGGUAUGAUUUCCGCGGAAGCAAUACAGGUAGCAUUUUGCAGCUUGGCACCCAAAAGCCCCAAGGCUCGCAAUGCAAAGUUAUCGAUUGAAAGAGGAUAUGGAUCAGAAAGAAUAAUAUAUGAUGUAUGCAGUGGGGAUGCGCACGUGAUUCCUUUUCACUGCUGCUUAUGUCUCCUAAGCGAGUUUUGCCUUACAGGAUGUGCAAUGUCAUCGUGUCUUGUGGAGAUAGAAUGAUAUGAAGACUUUUGAUAGAUUGCUCCGGUUCUUUUUCAGCUUAAUUGCAUUAGGUAUUAGUGAUAGCAACUCGAGAUUCUGCAGCAAUCGUCUCGUUUAACUGAAGGCUCUCAUAAUGCCCAGCUGACGAAAAUCUGGCUAUGUCACUUUACGGUCGAUGUUAGUGGUUCGCGGUCAUAAUCAUUUGCGAUUUGGAUAUCCUAACUGGAACCAUUGAUCGUCACUUCUCUAUUGUUUUCCAUCUUUGAAAUUUUAUCGCAUAGAAAUUGAUUUACUCAAAACUGCUAAAAACUAUAUUACAUAAGCCGCAGUGAGAUAACUUGUAGUCCUGAGCGAAAUUUAAAGGUAACACUUUCAUAUCCGGGAGUCAAACAAACAAAGUAAUGUUCUUUCAUAAGGCCAUCGCUACACUUAAUUCGAUUUAUGAAAACCCUGUGCUGCAUACCGCGUAAGCAUAAUUGGGAUCCCAUGGAAAUCCUUUUUGCGAUAUUUAACAAAAACACGUAAGAGUUUCUGCAAAGCUGCGAAAUUUCACGGGUAUAUCUGAAAUUUGCUGAUAAAAUCAAAAAUUUAAUACACCCUCUCGUGGCGGCGGUGUAUAUAGAAAAAGAAUCAAUUGAAUUAAAGAGUAUGAAGGAAAUAAUUCGAUUGAUUGACUGACUGACAUUGAUCGUGAAAAAAAGUGUUUAACUAAAUUUUGUAAGGAUACGUUGCGUGAGCUCGUAAAAAAACACAUACGUGGCGAGCAAUGGAUUAAUAUUUUGGACAAUUAAGGGGAAAAUAUUAGGAAUAAACGAGAAUAUUAUAAGCAAUAUAGGCAAUCAAAUGAUUGUUUUGCAUAAUUUUUAAAAAAAUGUUAUAAAAAAAUUAAAAUUAAAAAAAAUCACAACAUCAUAAGCUCUCUUCAAAUCCUUUUAAAUCGCUUGCAAAAAUGUUUCAUAUAAAUUAUUGAAAAAAACAAAAAAAAAAAAAA